CCUACGGGGGGCAGCAGUGAGGAAUAUUGGUCAAUGGGCGCGAGCCUGAACCAGCCAAGUAGCGUGAAGGAUGACUGCCCAACGGGUUGUAAACUUCUUUUGUCAAGGAAUAAAGUGAGGCACGAGUGCCUGUUUGUAUGUACUUUAUGAAUAAGGAUCGGCUAACUCCGUGCCAGCAGCCGCGGUAAUACGGAGGAUCCGAGCGUUAUCCGGAUUUAUUGGGUUUAAAGGGUGCGGAGAUGGGUUGUUAAGUCAGUUGUGAAAGUUUGCGGCUCAACCGUAAAAGUGCAGUUGAUACUGGCGGCCUGGAGUACAGGUGAGGUAGGCGGAAUGCGUGGUGUAGCGGUGAAAUGCUUAGAUAUCACGAAGAACCCCGAUUGCGAAGGCAGCCUACCAAA
rnacentral:rRNA from 1 species